rnacentral:rRNA from 1 species
GACGAACGCUGGCGGCGUGCUUAACACAUGCAAGUCGAACGGAAAGGCCCGGCUUUUGUGGGGUGCUCGAGUGGCGAACGGGUGAGUAACACGUGAGUAACCUGCCCGUGACUUUGGGAAAACUUCAGGAAACUGGGGCUAAUACCGGAUAGGAGCUCCGGCGGCAUGGUGGGGGUUGGAAAGUUUCUGCGGUUGGGGAUGGACUGGCGGGUUAUCAGCUUGUUGGUGGGGUAGUGGCUUACCAAGGCUUUGACGGGGAGCCGGCCUGAGAGGGUGACCGGGCCCAUUGGGACUAAGAUACGGCGCAGUGUCCUACUGGAGGCAGCAGUGGGGAAUAUUGCACAGUGGGCGGAAGCCUGAUGCAGCAGCGCCGCGUGCGGGAUGACGGCUUUCGGGUUGAAAACCGCUUUCGCCUGUGACGGAGGGUGAGUGACGGUAAUGGGUAAAGAAGCACCGGCUAACUACGUG